CAAUAGCGUAUAUUAAAGUUGUUGCAGCUAAAAAGCUCGUAGUUGGAUUUCUGUGAGAGUGCCGGUGUCGGCUGAUGCUUGUACGCAGGCGCUCUUACAUCCUUCUGUUAACUGAUCUUGGCAUUUUAUUGCUGGUUCAGGGCUCAGAUAUUUUACCUUGAGAAAAUUAGAGUGUUUCAGGCAGGCUUAUGCCGGAAUACAUUAGCAUGGAAUAAUGGAACAGGACCUGUGCGUCUUUCGGGGCGCCGGUCUCCGUUAUUGGUUUCGGGGACUAAAGUAAUGAUUAAUAGGGAUAGUUGGGGGCAUUAGUAUUUAAUAGUCAGAGGUGAAAUUCUCGGAUUUGUUAAAGACUAACUUAUGCGAAAGCAUUUGCCAAGGAUGUUUUCAUUAA
rnacentral:rRNA from 1 species